UACAGAGGUCCCAAGCGUUGUUCGGAUUCACUGGGCGUAAAGGGUGCGUAGGUGGCGCCGUAAGUCGGGUGUGAAUUCGAGGCUAACCUCGAACUGCAUUCGAUACUGCCGUGCUUGAGGACUGGAGAGGAGACUGGAAUUACGGUGUAGCGGUGAAUGCGUAGAUAUCGUAAGGAAGACCAGUGGCGAAGGCGGGUCUCUGGACAGUUCCUGACGCUGAGGCACGAAGGUCAGGGGAGCAAACGGG
rnacentral:rRNA from 1 species